rnacentral:lncRNA from 1 species
CAUGUCCUCAACUCCUUUGAAAGUAUGAGGUCAGGAGUUCGAGACCAGCCUGGCCAGCAUGGUGAAACCCUGCCUCUACUAAAAAUACAAAAAUUAACUGAGUGUGGUGCAAGCCUGUAAUCCCAGCUACUGGGGAGCAUCGUUUUUUUUUUUUUUUUACCAGCCUUGUUUCCUGGAUAAUUUCCCUUAGAUAUAUUGCUGUGUCAAUUAGAAAUCAUAUUUAUUUUCACUUAUGAAAAAGACGUCUGGAGAUAUGCAAUCUAGGGCUGCAGUCUUUCUUACCUUUCUAUUUUCCCUUGUAGGGGGUGUCCUUGAUUUGCAUUCUUAAAAGGUGGCUUCAAGAGCAUAAGCUACCAAGUUAGAGGUCCAGAUGGAGAGAAAGGUGAGCAGGGAGAGGAACAGGGCAUGAGCCAGCCAAGUCAGCUUAAAAGCUUUCAUAAAAGCCGCACCCAUAGAUUCCUGCUAACAUCUUAUGUGCCAGAACU